AAACCCUAGCCAGACUGCCACCGCCGCUGCCACUCCAUCCACUCUGCCACCGCCGCUGCCGCCACCAUCCACUCCCCACCGACACCGUUCGUGCGACGCCGCCACCGUCCACUCCGCCGCCGCCAUCGUCCCCUUCCGCCACCACCAUCCACUCCUCCAAUAGCUCAUCUGCCGCCGCCGCGUCGUUCAGCACCGGCGGCGGCGGCCUACCCUCCCCGUUCCCCGACCUUGGCGCCCCCCUCUCCGCCACGAACACCUCCUCCCCGUCGCUCCAAGGGUGGAAGCCCUGGGAGCGGCGGCUGCGGUGGGGCGAAGUCGGCGCCGCCGCGGUGGCCGGCGACCGUCGGGGAGUUGACGCGUGUGCAGAUGCGGAUUUCGGAGCCCGCCGACACCUCAAGACACCGACGACCUCAAGCCGCCGUCCACCUCAAGAUGCCGCCACCUCAAGCCGCCGUCCCCGAGCCCGACACAUGCUCAAGGACGAGCGGCUCGCGCAGCACCAGCCGACGCAGUACCCGACGUCGUAGAGCUGAGCGUCGCCAAGAACAAGUUCAAGGCCUUCGACCUCGGCGGCCACCAGAUCGCCCGCCUCUGUUCUAAUUCUACCACUCUUUCUUUUUUUCCCCCUCUCCUGCUGCAGCUUUUGUGCUACUUGUUGAUGGAUUUAUGAUUUUAUUCCUUGAGGGACGGAUGGGGUGAUUUGGGUCAGAAGCAGCUCUUGUUUGAUUGGAACAAACUAGGGUUUAGGCAUGGGGGACGGAUGGGGUGAUUUGGGUCGGAAGCAGCUCUUGUUUGAUUGGAACAAACUAGGGUUUAGGCAUGGGGAGUAUUGGGGAUUAGACAUGCACCUGGGUUAAUGAAGAAUCGGGCAUCUUACUCGAAUCAUGGAAAGAAAUAAUCAGUGCUUUCAUUCAUUAUUGAUUGGUCGAUUCAGAUCUUGCAAAAUGAACCAUCCGAUUGGGCAAUCGGAUAUGUUGCUGGUGUUAGUCCUCAGUUUCAGCCAUGAGCUCUAGUCUCCAGUAUUCAGAUCAGUUACAAUAAGAGUGGUCACUUUUAGCAAAAUUGGUUGGUUCUCUUGUGAACCUUAUUUCAUACAAGCUAGACAAAAAAGUUGCACAGAGAACUUUUCUCUGGUAAACUUGACCUGUUUGUUUCAUCUUAGUCGUAUAUUACCUUCUGUGUUUAAGCUGGCCUUUUGGCUUUUGCAGUUUAUGAAAAAAAUGCAAAAUUGAGGGUAGUGUCAUACUCCAAUCCAUAAAAAACCAAAAAAGGUACUAAAAAAAACUAGCUUUUUUGCUUAUUAGUGGUAGUGUAUCUAAAAGCAGUGUAGAUACAAAGCUUUAGCUUUAGCUCCAAAUAAUAUAUUCCUAAAAUCUUAGUACUGACUACAUGGUCCAUGAUUUAUGAUUUUGUUUCUAACCAUGGAAAUAGGGAAAAAAAUAGAUUAGACUUACACAGUGUGCUGUUUCAAACAUGAAAAACUGGAUGCAUAUAUCACCUUUUUUUUUUGCUUACAUGGUACAAAAAUUGUUUAUCUCACGAAAUAUUACAAAUGCAUUUCACAGAUUACUUAAGGAAGAACAAUUAUUCUUAAUGAUAGUGUCCCUUUAGUCACAAUUAUGAGAUUUAGGCUCUGGUAACACAGAGUAAAUUGCCUAACAUAUGUGUUGCUUCACUCUGUUUUUUUUUACCAAACACUUUCUUUUUAACUGAGGAUAAUGGAUGGAUUAGGGUGAGAAGGAUGACAAGAUAAUAGCAGUUUGUGCUGAUGAUCCUGAAUACUGCCACUACAAUGACAUCGUGCUGCUAAGCUCACUUUGAAGAUCUUGGUCGCGCGACAUCCGGUGAAAUUUUGGUUGCUGUGAUUGUAUUUGGAAUGUGGCUGGAUUUGGCUGUUAACUGUGUUGUAAAAUUUGUGUUGUAUUGGAUGUUUGUCGGGUCGUGUUAGAUGCUAAUUGGGUUGUAACCUUUGUGCUAUAUGGGUGGUUGCUGUGUUCGAUUGGUGGGCCUAUAUGGGCUUAGCCCACUUGUUAUUUGAUACUAAUUUAAAUGACUAAUAUGAUAGACUGAAAAUGGUGUGGUAUAA